rnacentral:rRNA from 1 species
UACGGAGGGUGCGAGCGUUGUCCGGAAUCACUGGGCGUAAAGGGCGCGUAGGCGGGUUCGCAAGUCUGUGGUGAAAGCCUCCAGCUUAACUGGAGAAGUGCCAUGGAUACUGCGCAUCUUGAGGAGGGUAGGGGCGUCUGGAACGGUCGGUGGAGCGGUGAAAUGCGUUGAUAUCGACCGGAACUCCGGUGGCGAAGGCGAGGCGCUGGACCCUUUCUGACGCUGAGGCGCGAAAGCCAGGGGAGCAAACGGG